GAGUAGUAGUGCAGGGCCUCCAAAAACCUUCAUGGAAUAUAACAACGAGAGUGAAAGACGAUUAUCAGUACUUCAUCAUCAAAUCAAAGGUAAUUAAUUCAUUGAUGAAUUAUUGACACGCAAUUAAACGAUUUAUGGCUACUUUGGCCAGCGCCAACAAGGCCAUCUUGGCAAGAUCGCAAACGAUCUCGCGUACCACUUACCUGCCCAGGAAGUAGGGGCCGUUGUGGCCGGCCUCCUGCUCGACGAGCGUCAUGAUCUUGGGCGCCUGGUCGCGGAUCAUGGAGAGCAGCGGGCCGAGGUGCACGGCGGGGACGCGGUGCAGCCUGUUGACGGCGUUGACGGCGAGCGCCUCGCCGACGCGGCGGUGCAGCGCGGCGGGGCGCAGGCGCUCGAGCCUGUCGGCGACGGCGGCGUGGAACUCGAACGGCACGCGCAGCGACGCGGCGAGGGAGGCGAGGUGGCGCCCGGUCUCCCUGACGGCGGCCGCGGGGUGCCCGACGCCGGUGAGCCGCAGCGUCGGCGGGCCCCCCGGGCGCGCGGCCAGCGCCUGCAGGAACGCCGGCCACUGGUAGCCCUGCAGGAUGUCGAGGUCGACGACGUGGACGCGGUCCUCGCCGUGGAAGGCCUCGAAGAUGGCCUGGUUGGCGGUGAAGUGCGCGAACUUGAUGUAGGGGCAGGCCUGGUACAGGAUCUGGUACACCUUGAGCGUGUCCGGCGACGGGGGGAACGUGUAGGGCGCGACGCCGGCGCCGGCGCCGGCGCCGGCGGAGGAGGACGGGUUGUUGGAGGAGAGGCGGGCGGCUAGGGCGUCGGCGAAGUAGGAGGCGACGCGCUGCAUGGAGUCGCCCAGCGGGGAGGCGACGCGGCGGAGGAGGUGCAGGUGGCGCAGCGCCGACGGCUGGUCCCCCUUGGAGACGAAGUCGGCGCACGCCAGCAGCAGGUGCACCAGCUGAAGGCCGCUGUCCUGCUCCUGCAUGCAUCAUGAGUGGAGUACGUUAAUAACUGCGCAUCAAAUUUGGACAUCACACAAGAACUCUAAACUUGAUCACAAAAUAAUAAUUCGCAAAAAGAAAUGCUCACGAAAUAUAACUGAAAUACUCAAAUUGUACUAGUCAACGCCAAUUGCCGUCGCCGUCGCCGUCGCGUACGUAGACGACACGUGUUCAUGAGAAGCAACACGGUGGUUUUGGACUGCGCUAUUGUCACGUACGCACGUUCCGAUAUUAACGAGGACCCAAAAAUAUCAUCGCAUGCAGGGCUCUCUGCGCAGAUUCCAACUAGAAGCAUCAAGGCCGAGCUAUAGCUUCAGACAAACAACAAGAUAUACGUACGGAUGCAUCGUCUUUCCUCUGGCUAGCUAGCUUCUACCGCCGUUUGCAUGGCAUGGCACUGUGACCAUUUGGCCAAUCCAGGAAGAAGCCUGAUGCCAUGUUUUUAUUUUAUUUUAUUUUAUUUUCUAUGCAUAAUAAGGAACUCAAGGAAACAUGCCAUGUUUGGUACUUUGAUAUGCAUGUCAAGUUCUUCCAACACAAGUAGCGUUUGCAUGCAUGCGUGCGUAUGUAUAUAUGGUUAUUCAACGUGGGUUAGAUAUGGUAAAUAAAUAAAUU
rnacentral:lncRNA from 1 species